UCAAAUGUAAAGUUUGCUGGUCUAGAUAUCAACAGAGAUGGAUUGAUUGAACAGUUUGAGUUCAUGGACGCCUUGAAACAGAUGGACAUAACGGACAACGCAACGAUUUUUCACCAUUGGUCAAUAAUGGACGAAGAUAAAGAUGGAACAAUUACUCUGGAAGAAUUUGACAAAGAAAAAAUAUAGUUGACUCUGAUCACAAUCGGACUUUUGAAAUGAAUUAAACAAAAUACUGCAUUA